AAUAGAUACCCUGGUAGUCCACGCCGUAAACGAUGAGUGCUAAGUGUUAGGGGGUUUCCGCCCCUUAGUGCUGCAGCUAACGCAUUAAGCACUCCGCCUGGGGAGUACGGUCGCAAGACUGAAACUCAAAGGAAUUGACGGGGGCCCGCACAAGCGGUGGAGCAUGUGGUUUAAUUCGAAGCAACGCGAAGAACCUUACCAGGUCUUGACAUCCCGUUGACCACUGUAGAGAUAUAGUUUCCCCUUCGGGGGCAACGGUGACAGGUGGUGCAUGGUUGUCGUCAGCUCGUGUCGUGAGAUGUUGGGUUAAGUCCCGCAACGAGCGCAACCCUUGAUCUUAGUUGCCAUCAUUUAGUUGGGCACUCUAAGGUGACUGCCGGUGACAAACCGGGAGGAAGGUGGGGAUGACGUCAAAUCAUCAUGCCCCUUAUGACCUGGGCUACACACGUGCUACAAUGGACGAUACAAACGGUUGCCAACUCGCGAGAGGGAGCUAAUCCGAUAAAGUCGUUCUCAGUUCGGAUUGUAGG
rnacentral:rRNA from 1 species